UUUCAGUGCGAUCCUGUAGGGGGCAGCAGUGGCGCGUCGUGGUUCAAAUGAAGUAUUGGUUUUGAAACGAAUAACUCAACGUGAGCAUUUCCUGUCCAAACGUGUUUAAAAAUAGAAAUAAGGUGGCAACAUCUCCAGACAAGUGUCUGUCGCACCUCCUCAGGUAGGCAGAGAGCCCUCGUCUGCUGCUUGAGAUGGUCGACAGAGCUUCAAGGCGAUCCUCUGGGAUCGUCUUCGCCUCACUGGAGUGUAGUGGCUGAGAGAGACCGACCCACUCAACUGCUUUUCGAGUCUUGUCUCCAUCUCGGAGUUCCAGAGCCUCGUAUAUUCCGGUGGAGGCGCCGCUCGGCACUGCCGCUCGGAAAAGGCCUUGGAUUGGGGACAAAAUGGUGAGCUAUGAGUUCAUUUACAGUUACGUCUUUGGCCAAAUGUCAGCUUUUUACUUUUGUUGCACAAUCACAAUGGAGUUUUAAUUAAAGUUUUUCUUUCAUUAAAUAUAGAGCACCAUUAUUUGCAGGUACUGUUGAAGUAUUUGGUCACUUGUCUUAAAUAUGAUUUCGCACCUAAUUGUAUCAAAAAGUUUCAACCUUGGACAU